AGAGUUUGAUCCUGGCUCAGAACGAACGCUGGCGGCGUGGAUAAGACAUGCAAGUCGAGCGCUGAUUACAGGGUAGCAAUAUUCUGUGGUCGGAGCGGCGCAAGGGUGCGUAACACGUGGGUAAUCUGCCAUGAAGUUUGGAAUAGCUUGCUGAAAGGCGAGCUAAUACCGAAUGUGAAAAUCGGAUGGCAUCAUUUGAUUUUUAAAGUUGGGGACCGUAAGGCCUGACGCUUCUCGAUAAGCCCGCGGCCUAUCAGCUAGUUGGUGAGGUAACGGCUCACCAAGGCUAAGACGGGUAGCUGGUCUGAGAGGACGACCAGUCACACUGGAACUGAGACACGGUCCAGACACCUACGGGUGGCAGCAGUCGAGAAUUUUUCUCAAUGGGCGAAAGCCUGAAGGAGCGACGCCGCGUGGGGGAUGAAGGGCUUCGGCUCGUAAACCCCUGUCAUUUGCGAACAAACCUUACGAUUGAACAGAUCGUGAGCUGAUUGUAGCGAAAGAGGAAGGGACGGCUAACUCUGUGCCAGCAGCCGCGGUAAUACAGAGGUCCCAAGCGUUGUUCGGAUUCACUGGGCGUAAAGGGUGCGUAGGUGGCAAGGUAAGUUUGAUGUGAAAUCUCCGGGCUUAACCCGGAAACUGCAUUGAAUACUAUCUCGCUCGAGAGUUGGAGGGGAGACUGGAAUACUUGGUGUAGCAGUGAAAUGCGUAGAUAUCAAGUGGAACACCAGUGGCGAAGGCGAGUCUCUGGACAACUUCUGACACUGAGGCACGAAAGCUAGGGGAGCAAACAGGAUUAGAUACCCUAGUAGUCC
rnacentral:rRNA from 1 species